rnacentral:rRNA from 1 species
ACGCUUUGUGGUUCAACUGAUUUGAAGAGCUUGCUCAGAUAUGACGAUGGACAUUGCAAAGAGUGGCGAACGGGUGAGUAACACGUGGGAAACCUACCUCUUAGCAGGGGAUAACAUUUGGAAACAGAUGCUAAUACCGUAUAACAAUGACAACCGCAUGGUUGUUAUUUGAAAGAUGGUUCUGCUAUCACUAAGAGAUGGUCCCGCGGUGCAUUAGCUAGUUGGUAAGGUAAUGGCUUACCAAGGCGAUGAUGCAUAGCCGAGUUGAGAGACUGAUCGGCCACAAUGGGACUGAGACACGGCCCAUACUCCUACGGGAGGCAGCAGUAGGGAAUCUUCCACAAUGGGCGAAAGCCUGAUGGAGCAACGCCGCGUGUGUGAUGAAGGGUUUCGGCUCGUAAAACACUGUUGUAACAUAACAAUGACAUUGAGAGUAACUGUUCAAUGUGUGACGGUAUCUUACCAAAAAGGAACGGCUAAAUACGUGCCAGCAGCCGCGGUAAUACGUAUGUUCCAAGCGUUAUCCGGAUUUAUUGUGCGUAAAGCGAGCGCAGACGGUUAUUUAACUCUGAG